rnacentral:rRNA from 1 species
GUUUGAUCCUGGCUCAGAUUGAACGCUGGCGGAAUGCUUUUACACAUGCAAGUCGAGCGGCAGCGCGGGGGCAACCCUGGCGGCGAGCGGCGAACGGGUGAGUAAUAUAUCGGAACGUACCCCGUCGUGGGGGAUAACACAGCGAAAGCUGUGCUAAUACCGCAUACGACCUGAGGGUGAAAGCGGGGGAUCGCAAGACCUCGCGCGAUGGGAGCGGCCGAUAUCGGAUUAGCUUGUUGGUGAGGUAAAGGCUCACCAAGGCGACGAUCCGUAGCUGGUCUGAGAGGACGACCAGCCACACUGGAACUGAGACACGGUCCAGACUCCUACGGGAGGCAGCAGUGGGGAAUUUUGGACAAUGGGGCAACCCUGAUCCAGCCAUUCCGCGUGAGUGAAGAAGG